rnacentral:rRNA from 1 species
AACGAACGCUGGCGGCGUGGAUAAGACAUGCAAGUCGAACGCUGAUUUCAGGGUAGCAAUAUUCUGAAGUCGGAGUGGCGCAAGGGUGCGUAACACGUGGGCAAUCUACCGUGAAGUUGGGGAUAACUUGCUGAAAGGCAAGCUAAUACCGAAUGUGAAAAUUAUGAGGCAUCUCUAGAUUUUCUAAAGUUAGGGGACCGGCAAGGCCUGACGCUUCACGAUGAGCCUGCGGCCUAUCAGCUAGUUGGUGAGGUAACGGCUCACCAAGGACUAAGACGGGUAGCUGGUCUGAGAGGACGACCAGCCUCACUGGAACUGAGACACGGUCCAGACACCUACGGGUGGCAGCAGUCGAG